GGCGGCGCCCCGCCCCGCCCUUUCAUUCAUCUCGGCCGGAGCGCCAAGUCCCCGCUGGGCGCCGCGAGGCGGGGCCUCGUAAGCGCAAAACUGCGGCCUCGGAGGGGAAGCGUGCUCGGGUGCGGGUGCGGCAGCCUAGGAGGAUGCGGAGGCCCGGACGGGGGGGCCUCAGUUUCCCCGCGGGGGGCCCCUGUGACCUAAGUCAGCUGAUGACCAAGAGCCCAGACCGGCGCUGGAGGAGGCGGUGUGGACCCUGAGGAAGGACCGUGGUGGCCGCCUUGAGGAGGGGCGCCUCUCACGCCCUCUCCCUCUCUGACCCCUGCGAACGGACCUGUGGCUGCCAAAGAUUCCUGAAAAGAAAUCCGAAAUGGAAGACAAUGCUGGUCCUGUAAGACGAACAAAAAAGACGGGAGCAUCUGUCCCUGGUAGGAACUGCUUGUCAGCCCCGGCUCCCAGCAGAACCAGGGACUGGAUCCUCAGAUCGGACAUGUUCAGUCGCUGGUAUAAGUAGGCUCCACGCCUAGCACAGAGCUCCAGCACGGGACCCGAACUCAUCACCCUGAGAUCACGACCUGAGCCAAGAUCAAGAACCCGACACCCAACCAAGAGAGCCACCCAGGAACCCCCAACCUUAAACCCCCUUUUUUUGUUUUUGAGACAGAUCAAGAGAGUGUGCUAGCUCGCACGUGCAUGUGACCAGGGGAGAGGGGAAGAGAGAGAGAGAAACUUAAACAGGCUCCACGCCCAGUGUGGAGGCCGAUGUGGGGCUCGAUCCCAGGACCCCAAGAUGGUGACCUGAGCUGAAAUCAAGAGUCAGGUGCUUCACUGACUGGGUCCCCUCUCCCCGGGGUGCCCCUGUUUGUUAAGCUUCGAAUUUUGUUCUGUUCCUGAUCUUGUUGAGUUGCAUAUCCGUGUCCUCUCAUGGUUCCCUGGGCUUCUCGGAGACAAUUACUUUGCAUUCUCUGCCAGGAGGCUCAUGGCUCUACAUUUCUUCGGAGCUGGUCACCGGAGUUUCAUUAGUUCCCUUUGGCACUGUUGUGUUUACGUGAUUCUUGGUGAUGUGUGGAGCCUUGCGUGGGUGUGCGGGCCCUGAAGGAUGCACUUUCAGACUCAAUUUUUUUUUUUUAAGAUUUUAUUUAGGGGCGUUUGGGUGGCUCAGUGUGUUAGAGCCUCUGCCUUCGGCUCAGGUCAUGAUCUCAGGGUCCCGGGAUGGAGCCCCGCAUCGGGCUCUCUGCUCAGCGGGGAGCCUGCUUCCCCCCUCCUCUCUCUCUGCCUGCCUCUCUGCCUACUUGUGA